CACGUGGGUAACCUGCCCAAGAGAUCGGGAUAACACCUGGAAACAGAUGCUAAUACCGGAUAACAACAGAUGAUGCCUAUCAACUGUUUAAAAGAUGGUUCUGCUAUCACUCUUGGAUGGACCUGCGGUACAUUAGCUAGUUGGUAGGGUAACGGCCUACCAAGGCGAUGAUGCAUAGCCGAGUUGAGAGACUGAUCGGCCACAUUGGGACUGAGACACGGCCCAAACUCCUACGGGAGGCAGCAGUU
rnacentral:rRNA from 1 species